rnacentral:snRNA from 1 species
GCAUGUGAGGUCAUCUGGCUGCAAUACUUGUCAUCCUGGAUUGCUGGGGAUCCCCUUCCUCCCUCAUGUUCCAUGCCACCCUCCAAGCUUCACUCGUAUUAGAAAAGGACAUUCUUCCUUGAUGGAGGAAGGCUGACCUUCACUCAAGAGUGUAGAGUAGCCGUGCUUCCUGCUAGAACCUCCACAUAAGCUCAACAAGUAUCUGCUGAGUGACCUUACGCUGGGGGAGAUGAGAAGUGGUUUCUGAUCUUGAGGAACUCUGACUGUAAUAAAGCAGUGUUGUCUCUAGU